rnacentral:rRNA from 1 species
UGGGGGAUAUUGCACAAUGGGGGAAACCCUGAUGCAGCGACGCCGCGUGAGUGAAGAAGUAUUUCGGUAUGUAAAGCUCUAUCAGCAGGGAAGAAAGAAGACGGUACCUGAGUAAGAAGCCCCGGCUAACUACGUGCCAGCAGCCGCGGUAAUACGUAGGGGGCAAGCGUUAUCCGGAUUUACUGGGUGUAAAGGGAGCGUAGACGGCAAGGCAAGCCUGGAGUGAAAGGCGGGGGCCCAACCCCCGGACUGCUCUGGGAACUGUCUGGCUAGAGUGCAGGAGGGGUAAGUGGAAUUCCUAGU